GAUGAACGCUGGCGGCGUGCCUAAUACAUGCAAGUCGAGCGAAUGCAUUAAGAGCUUGCUCUCAUGAAGUUAGCGGCGGACGGGUGAGUAACACGUGGGUAACCUGCCCAUAAGACUGGGAUACCUCCGGGAAACCGGGGCAAAUACCCAAUAACAUUUUGGACCGCAUGGGUCGACAUUGAAAGGCGGCUUCGGCUGUCACUUACGGAUGGACCCGGGUCGCAUUAGCUAGUUGGUGAGGUAACGGCUCACCAAGGCAACGAUGCGUAGCCGACCUGAGAGGGUGAUCGGCCACACUGGGACUGAGACACGGCCCAGACUCCUACGGGAGGCAGCAGUAGGGAAUCUUCCGCAAUGGACGAAAGUCUGACGGAGCAACGCCGCGUGAGUGAUGAAGGCUUUCGGGUCGUAAAACUCUGUUGUUAGGGAAGAACAAGUGCUAGUUGAAUAAGCUGGCACCUUGACGGUACCUAACCAGAAAGCCACGGCUAACUACGUGCCAGCAGCCGCAGUAA
rnacentral:rRNA from 1 species